rnacentral:rRNA from 1 species
ACGCUGGCGGCAGGCCUAACACAUGCAAGUCGAACGGUAGCACAGAGGAGCUUGCUCCUCGGGUGACGAGUGGCGGACGGGUGAGUAAUGUCUGGGAAACUGCCCGAUGGAGGGGGAUAACUACUGGAAACGGUAGCUAAUACCGCAUAACGUCGCAAGACCAAAGAGGGGGACCUUCGGGCCUCUUGCCAUCGGAUGUGCCCAGAUGGGAUUAGCUAGUAGGUGGGGUAAUGGCUCACCUAGGCGACGAUCCCUAGCUGGUCUGAGAGGAUGACCAGCCACACUGGAACUGAGACACGGUCCAGACUCCUACGGGAGGCAGCAGUGGGGAAUAUUGCACAAUGGGCGCAAGCCUGAUGCAGCCAUGCCGCGUGUGUGAAGAAGGCCUUCGGGUUGUAAAGCACUUUCAGCGGGGAGGAAGGCGAUACGGUUAAUAACCGUGUUGAUUGACGUUACCCGCAGAAGAAGCACCGGCUAACUCCGUGCCAGCAGCCGCGGUAAUACGGAGGGUGCAAGCGUUAAUCGGAAUUACUGGGCGUAAAGCGCACGCAGGCGGUCUGUCAAGUCGGAUGUGAAAUCCCCGGGCUCAACCUGGGAACUGCAUUCGAAACUGGCAGGCUUGAGUCUUGUAGAGGGGGGUAGAAUUCCAGGUGUAGCGGUGAAAUGCGUAGAGAUCUGGAGGAAUACCGGUGGCGAAGGCGGCCC